UACGUAGGGGGCUAGCGUCAUCCGGAAUGAUUGGGCGUAAAGGGUGCGUAGGCGGCCUGCUAAGUCUGGAGUGAAAGGUACCGGCUCAACCGGUACAGGCUCUGGAAACUGGCGGGCUAGAGAGCAGGAGAGGGCGGUGGAACUCCAUGUGUAGCGGUAAAAUGCGUAGAUAUAUGGAAGAACACCAGUGGCGAAGGCGGCCGCCUGGCCUGUUGACUGACGCUGAGGCACGAAAGCGUGGGGAGCAAAUAGG
rnacentral:rRNA from 1 species